GUGAUAGGGAUAGGAGACGGGUGAUAGGGAUAGGAGACGGGCGAUAGGAGACAGGUGAUAGGGAUAGGAGACGGGCGAUAGGAGACAGGUGAUAGGGAUAGGAGACAGGUGAUAGUGAUAGGAGACAGGUGAUAGGGAUAGGAGACGGGUGAUAGGGAUAGGAGACAGGUGAUAGGGAUAGGAGACGGGCGAUAGGAGACAGGUGAUAGGGAUAGGAGACAGGUGAUAGGGAUAGGAGACGGGCGAUAGGGAUAGGAGACGGGCGAUAGGAGACAGGUGAUAGGGAUAGGAGACGGGUGAUAGGGAUAGGAGACGGGCGAUAGGGAUAGGAGACAGGUGAUAGGGAUAGGAGACGGGCGAUAGGGAUAGGAGACGGGUGAUAGGGAUAGG
ensembl:lncRNA